CCUGACCCUAGAUGCAUUGCAGGCAUGGCUGCUGUGUUACAGGUGCAUCAAUAGGUGGUAGAAAGAAGAGAGGAUCUGACCUGUGGACAUCUGAAUGAAAAAAGUAAGCCUGAGACA
ensembl:snoRNA Gm26310 predicted gene, 26310